UACGAAGGGGGCUAGCGUUGUUCGGAAUUACUGGGCGUAAAGCGCACGUAGGCGGAUCGAUCAGUCAGGGGUGAAAUCCCAGAGCUCAACUCUGGAACUGCCUUUGAUACUGUCGAUCUAGAGUAUGGAAGAGGUGAGUGGAAUUCCGAGUGUAGAGGUGAAAUUCGUAGAUAUUCGGAGGAACACCAGUGGCGAAGGCGGCUCACUGGUCCAUUACUGACGCUGAGGAGCGAAAGCGUGGGGAGCGAACAGG
rnacentral:rRNA from 1 species